rnacentral:lncRNA from 1 species
GAGGAAAGCCCAGCGACGCCGGGCCAGCGCAUUCUUAUUUUAUGAAGAUCUGGCAAGAGUUAGCGUGCAGUUCUACAUUGUGACAAUUCAUGAGAGCUAAGGACUGGCUGUCUCUUGGGACAAAUAGGCUUUCUUGAGUCUGCAUGAGGCCCUCACCAGAUACAGCCACCUGAUCUUGGACUUCACAGCCUCCAGAAAUUUCCUAGGAAAGAAGUUGUUUCAACUCUCAUUGGAGGAAGUAUAAGGUGAUCUCAGGGAAGGGGAGAAGGGCUGGUUGCCUGCCAAAUCUAUGAUCAAGUCGGCUCCACAGUCACUUUGCUUCCACUUCUAAGUGAGAACAUACAGUGUUUGGUUUUUCAUUCCUGAGUUACUUCACCUAGAACAAUGGCCUCCAGCUCCAUCCAAGUUGCUGCAGAAGACAUUUCAUUCCUUUUAUGGCUGAGUAGUAUUCCAUGUCCAGUGAUUCAAGUUUGACACACCACACCACGGUGGAUGUGCCUUGUCAUGACACAUCUUCUCAGCAGCACUAGAAGAUACAUCCAAAGUCCUGUGAGCAAGGACACAGCGAGAAGAUGGCUGUCUACAAGCCAGGAAGAGAGUCCUCACCAGAACCAAACCCUGCUGGACUUUGAUCUUGGACUUCCCAGCCUCUAAAACUGUGAAGACAUAAAUUUCUGUUGUUAAACCCACACAGGUCUGUGGUAUCUGUUUAUUAUGGCAGCCCAGUAAGACUAAGACAGGCCAUCACAAGACAUGAAUGUUUUGGACCUUCUCUUGGGCCCUAGUAAACAGAAAUCAGGUACGCAAAAGGGGUAAGCAUAUAAUUUCCUUUAUUUUUAUUUUUAAUGUGUAAGCCUUAGGUUUUUAUUUAUUUAUUUGGUGAAGACAAUCACAUUGUGUACGUACAAUGUAAUUAUAUUGUUGACGAGAAGUUACUUAAAAUUUUUUAAAAAUUCUAAUCGAUUUCUAGAUGUCCAAAUGAGAAGAUAGCAUUUAUAUACCAUCAGAACAUAAAAUAAUUCAAAAAAAUAAAUUUAUAAAACAAUAUGUAUUAUAUUGAGAGAAAGAGAGGGAGAGAGUAUUGGAAGAAUAUAUGCAAAUACAAUGUGAUAAUGUGAUGUCUUUGUGAGAAUGCUAUAUGUCAUUUUCUUUGUUUAUAUGAAUUUUUACAAUUUUUACCUUUGAAAUAUAAAAAAGAGAGAAUAAAAGUCAUUGAAAAAAUCAAAA